UACGUAGGGGGCAAGCGUUGUCCGGAAUCAUUGGGCGUAAAGCGCGCGCAGGCGGUCGCGUAAGUCUGCUGUGAAAUCUCCCUGGCUCAACCGGGAGGGGGCGGCGGAGACUGCGGGACUGGAGGGACCUAGAGGCCGGUGGAAUUCCCGGUGUAGUGGUGAAAUGCGUAGAGAUCGGGAGGAACACCUGUGGCGAAGGCAGCUCGCUGGGACGGUACGUGACGCUGAGGCGACGAAAGCGUGGGGAGCAAACAGGG
rnacentral:rRNA from 1 species